AUGAAAGAGGCGAUCAGAAUGGUAACCGAAUCCAUUUACGAUCCCGAGUUUCCAGACACAUCGCACUUCCGCUCGGGUCGAGGCUGCCACUCGGCCCUCAGACGGAUCAAAGAAGAGUGGGGAACCUCUCGCUGGUUUUUGGAGUUCGACAUCAGGAAGUGUUUUCACACCAUCGACCGACAUCGAUUCAUCUCAAUCUUGAAAGAAGAGAUCGACGAUUCCAAGUUCUUUUACCCCACUUAG
rnacentral:rRNA from 1 species